UGCCAUUCCCCGCCCUUGCAAGAUCAAUGCAUUGUUCAAAUCCAUGGGAGAUUCCUUGCCAACCCGAAGAUCCUUCGGAUCUGACGAUGCUAACAAGUCUUGGAUCUUGAGUCAUCCCUCUGCUAUAAGCAUGUAUGAUGAUAUAGUGAAUUCCUCCAAAGGGAAGAAGAUCGCCAUGUUUCUUGAGUAUGAUGGCACUCUUUCCCCCAUUGUUGAAGACUCCGACAAAGCUUUCAUGG